CUUCAUAUCAAUUAAUAUUCAUUCAAAUAAAUAUUGGAUCACACAUUACAGAUUAUAACAAUAAUAAUUGAUAAAACAGUUUAUUAAUAAAUAAACACGCUAAAAUGGUGGAUCACACUUUGUGUUAGCAAGUAAUCAUUAAAAGCUAUUUAAAUAAGAAAAUGUAAAAUAUAUUCACAAAGAUUUAAUGAGAGCUUUCAAGUUUUCUUUAGGGGUGUUGUCUACUUAGGAAUAUCUUAACUGAGUCUUAGUUGACGUGUACCUUUAUACAUGAAAUACAGACAUUAACAUAUAAGAGCAGUCACUAUUCAAGCUCUAGUUAAUUUGCAAGCAAGACAUAGUAACCUCAAACAAAGGUUCUGCCCUCUCAUUGGAAUGUUUCUGAUGACCACUUUUAGAACAUUGGUCAAGAAUUAACACCACCUUCUACAUACAACUGCUAUAGUUAUUU